rnacentral:rRNA from 1 species
AGAUUGAACGCUGGCGGCAUGCCUAACACAUGCAGGUCGAACGGGAGUAGCAAUACUCUAGUGGCGGACGGGUGAGGAAUACGUAGGAAUUUGCCCUUAAGUGGGGGAUAACCCGGGGAAACCCGGAUUAAUACCGCAUGACCUCGAAAGAGCAAAGUGGGGGAUCGCAAGACCUCACGCUUUUGGAGAAGCCUACGUCGGAUUAGCUAGUUGGUGAGGUAAUGGCUCACCAAGGCGACGAUCCGUAACUGGUCUGAGAGGAUGAUCAGUCACACCGGAACUGAGACACGGUCCGGACUCCUACGGGAGGCAGCAGGUGGGGAAUAUUGGACGAAUGGGCGCGAAGCCUGAUCCAGCAAUGCCGCGUGUGUGGAAGAAGGCCUUACGGUUAGUAAGU